rnacentral:SRP_RNA from 1 species
GCUGGGUGCGGUGGCUCAUACCUGUAAUCCCAGCACUUUGGGAGGCUGAGAUGGGAGGAUCACCUGAGGUCAGGAGUUCGAGACUAACUAGCCUGGUCAACAUGGUGAAACCCCAUCUCUA